rnacentral:rRNA from 1 species
GAUGAACGCUAGCGGCAGGCCUAACACAUGCAAGUCGAGGGAGAAGCCCUUUCGGGGGCCGAAACCGGCGCACGGGUGCGUAACUCGUAUGCAACCUACCUUUCACAGGGGGAUAGCCCGAAGAAAUUUGGAUUAAUACCCCAUAAUAUUAUUUGAUGGCAUCAUUUGAUAAUUAAAACUGCGGUGGUGAAAGAUGGGCAUGCGUCCUAUUAGCUAGUUGGAGUGGUAACGGCACCCCAAGGCUACGAUAGGUAGGGGUCCUGAGAGGGAGAACCCCCACAAUGGUACCGAGACAGAGACCAGACUGCUACGGGAGGCAGGAGUGAGGAAGAUUGGUGAAGGGUCGGAAGACUGAACCAGCCAUGCCGCGUGCAGGAAGAAUGCCUUAUGGAUUGUAAACUGCUUUUAUAUGAGAAGAAUAAGGUGUACGUGUACAUUGAUGACGGUACCAUAUGAAUAAGCAUCGGCUAACUCCGUG